rnacentral:lncRNA from 1 species
GGGAGUGGCAAGAUAUCCUCAGGUUAAAUUUUAUGGGCCGUUGUCGACAGUACUUUGUUCAUUAGAUUUUAGGCUCUAAGCUUGUUUAGGAUUUCAUAGCAGGUUGUUUAGCUAUCUAUGGAGCUAGAUAUUUAGCCUUGUUAACAUGAUAUUGGAUGUCACUAGAAGCAAGUUCACUAUAAUUGUCCUGUCAGCUACUCCCUCCAUCCCAUAAUAUUAUGAUGUUAUUACAUCCAAUAUGCAUUAUGGGACUGAGGGAGUAUUUCUUUACUGCUUUGUAUUCUGGCCCGUGCGUUUUCAACGGAGCGUGGUUUUGUCGUAGUGUAUUGCAGUGUUCUUGUAUUCCGGCCCAUGCGUUUUCAACAGAGCAUGGUUUCGUCGUAGUGUAUUGCACUGUUCUUGUAUUCCGGCCCGUGCGUUUUCAACAGAGCGUGGUUUCGUCGUAGUGUAUUUCACUGUUGUGUUCGUUACUGGUGUACUCUCUGUGCUGCCAGAUUACUACUCUAAGAAAAACUGUGAAGGUUGCUUCCAGUUUGACACGAUUUCUACACGGGAGCUGCGACGCGAGUCCAUAACUCCACGCUGAAAAUUGUGCUGGAUAUUGGGCGCAACAUUUCCAAUGCGAUAUAUGGGGUGCAUCUAACUGGGGCAACUAAACUUGCCUGGGAAGUUUACUCAAAACUCGCAAAAUCUUGGUAAAACGAUCAGCGUCAUCCCAUCAAUGUCAAAUAGAUGUGUACACUCCUGGAACCUAGACCAGCUACUUGUGUUCACCAGCAAUUCAUCAAACAACCUUAAAAGCGCAUGAAGUACAGACUAGUCGUAUUUCACCAUUCUAGGCGAUCGUUUUCCAUUGGGUUUCCGAACACAUGUCAUGACUUCACUUCCGCGGUACAUCUCAAUAAAACAUCAAACAUAACAUCCAUAAAUAAGCCGAUCACCAAGCAAACUAAGGUGAUAUUUUGCAAGAGAAUGAUAAUCUAGUCACUGUCCCAUGUAUCCCUUUUUUAUUAUCUGAGCUCCUCGCACAAAAAAUUGGGUAUUCAUAUGUUCGGUGUUUCUUCUUUGUGCAAAGGAUCCAAAUAGGCAAGUGCAUUUUACUAUGUCCUCGAAGGUGUUCCAUAGAUAAGCAAAAAAAGGGUUUCAUUUUGGAUUCCCCAAUUUUGAAAAAUUGCAUAUUAAUUUCCUUCCGCGGUACAUCUCAAUAAAACAUCAAACAUAACAUCCAUAAAUAAGCCGAUCACCAAGCAAACUAAGGUGAUAUUUUGCAAGAGAAUGAUAAUCUAGUCACUGUCCCAUGUAUCCCUUUUUUAUUAUCUGAGCUCCUCGCACAAAAAAUUGGGUAUUCAUAUGUUCGGUGUUUCUUCUUUGUGCAAAGGAUCCAAAUAGGCAAGUGCAUUUUACUAUGUCCUCGAAGGUGUUCCAUAGAUAAGCAAAAAAAGGGUUUCAUUUUGGAUUCCCCAAUUUUGAAAAAUUGCAUAUUAAUUUCCUUCAUAUGAACAGAAAAAUAUGAUGACUCAAAGAAGUCCUCUACUAGAAACUUCGUAUAUUGUACAUGACAUGACUUAGCAAAAGAAAUUAAGAUAAAGAUCGUCGGGAUAGCAAUAUUUUCCAUCUGGGUAUUACUCAUGUCAAGAGAUUAUUUAGACAAUUAGCAAAAGAAAUUGUAUGGCUGAAUUGCAAGAAAUCUACUAUAAAAAGGAAAGAAUGUGGGAAAAAAUUAGCAAAAGAAAUUGUGUGGCUGCUGGGAUUCGAGCCCAGGUCUCCACGGCCACAACGUGGAAUUCUCACCACUAAACUACAGCCACAAUCAUGUGCAAUUUUAGCGGGAACCCUCUCUACACACUUUCUUCUGUUGAUGUCACACUACAUAGGCCCGUGAUAAAACCUAAUUAGAGCACGAGUAUUUCCCACUAAAAAAUAAACCUAGGGUCAAAUUGUUGGCAUGUAGACAAAAAAAUGCUAAAACCUAGAGAACGAGUGUUUCCCACAAUUUUUUUAACAUACUUAACCACUAUCUUAAUACCUAUAAAUAAACUAGAGCAUGCCACAAGUCACCAAAGAGCAGACUAUAGACGUACUCCCUCCGUCCCAUAAUA